rnacentral:lncRNA from 1 species
UUUUUUCCUUUCAAAUGUGCAUGCUUAUGUUAAUUUACAUGUACUAUGUGCUUUGAGAAGAAAACGGUGUAGUUGUUAUGCAUGAGCACACCUUCUGCAUAGUGGUUAAUUUGGUUGACCUUGGUUGUCAAAAGAAACUUGCUUAGUGUAUUGUCAUUAGUAACUCGCAUAGUGCUUAAACUUGGAACAUAGAACUGAGCUAUAAAUCUUAACUAUGAUGGUACUUUGGGGGAAAAUGGCGCAUUCAGACUUGAUUUUAGUGAUCUAUUGAUUGCUCCGAACCUUGGUUUCUCACCAUUGUUUAGAUUCUUGAGUGUUGUUCUGACUUUAAGAAGUGGGAUCUA